UACGGGGGGGGGCAAGCGGUUGUUCGGAAUUACUGGGCGUAAAGGGCUCGUAGGCGGCCAACUAAGUCAGACGUGAAAUCCCUCGGCUUAACCGGGGAACUGCGUCUGAUACUGGAUGGCUUGAGUUUGGGAGAGGGAUGCGGAAUUCCAGGUGUAGCGGUGAAAUGCGUAGAUAUCUGGAGGAACACCGGUGGCGAAGGCGGCAUCCUGGACCAACACUGACGCUGAGGAGCGAAAGCCAGGGGAGCAAACGGG
rnacentral:rRNA from 1 species